ensembl:misc_RNA Metazoa_SRP Metazoan signal recognition particle RNA
GCUGGGUGUGGUGGUGCACACCUGUAGUCCCAGCUACUUGGGAGGCCGAGGCGGGAGGAUCGCUUGAGCCUGGGAGGCGGAGGUUGCAGUGAGCCAAGAUCAUGCCACUGCACUCCAACCUGGGAAAGAGAGCGAGACCCUGUCUCAA